GCCCGGGUAGCUCAAUUGGCAGAGCAGCGCUUUUGUAAAGCGAAGGUUUGGAGAUUCGACUUCUCUCCCGGGCUCUA
rnacentral:tRNA from 2 species